AUUGAACGCUGGCGGCAUGCCUUACACAUGCAAGUCGAACGGCAGCACGGGGGCGAACCCUGGUGGCGAGUGGCGAACGGGUGAGUAAUGCAUCGGAACGUGCCCAGUAGUGGGGGAGUAACUAGUCGAAAGAUUAGCUAAUACCGCAUACGACCUAUGGGUGAAAGCGGGGGAGUCGCAAGACCUCGCGCUAUUGGAGCGGCCGAUGUCUGAUUAGCUAGUUGGCGGGGUAAAAGCCCACCAAGGCUUCGAUCAGUAGCUGGUCUGAGAGGACGACCAGCCACACUGGGACUGAGACACGGCCCAGACUCCUACGGGAGGCAGCAGUGGGGAAUUUUGGACAAUGGGCGCAAGCCUGAUCCAGCCAUGCCGCGUGCGGGAAGAAGGCCUGGUU
rnacentral:rRNA from 1 species